rnacentral:rRNA from 1 species
UACGUAGGGUGCGAGCGUUGUCCGGAAUUAUUGGGCGUAAAGAGCUUGUAGGCGGUUUGUCGCGUCUGCUGUGAAAACCCGAGGCUCAACCUCGGGCCUGCAGUGGGUACGGGCAGACUAGAGUGCGGUAGGGGAGAUUGGAAUUCCUGGUGUAGCGGUGGAAUGCGCAGAUAUCAGGAGGAACACCUAUGGCGAAGGCAGCUCUCUGGGACGGUACUGACGCUGAGACGCGAAAGCGUGGGGAGCGAACAGG